CAGGGGGUCCCCGCGCGUCGGGGCCGCCCGCGGGCCGGGGGGCGGGGCCUGGCGCGGGGGCGGGGCCUGGCGCGGGGCGGGGCCUGCGCGGGGCGGGGCGGGGCGCGGCGUGGAUGGGCGGGGCCUGGCCGUGGGCAGCGGCGGUGGCAGCGGCGGCAGGAGACGAGGGAGGGCGGGUCCGCGGCAGCUGCCUUCGGUCAGCCGGUGUCCGGCGCGGAGCACAGAGGAUGGCCUCGUGGAGAAGUUACUCAAUGGGCUGCCUGGGUACACAGAACAGAAGACAAAAGAGAAAACAAGAAAAAAGAAAAGAAGAGAAAGAGGAAGGGGUAAGGAGAGAGAAAGAGAACAAACGAAUGAACGAAAGGGUGUCCACGCCAGGAAGGACACCCGGCGAGAUGAGGUCAGAGCGGGCGUGGCAGGGGGGCAGGGGGCAGCAAGCGGGCAGGCGGGUGGAGGACCCCUCCUCCCUCACCAUCCUGGCCCCCCUCAUCCGCCCGGGGCCUGGCCAGCUGGCCGGCCCCACUCUGGACCCCGAGGCGGCGAGUCCACCACCGCCACAAACCCUAGGGCUGAGCGGGACCCUGGGGCCCCAGGCUGGCGCCCUGCGUGCCCGUGGGGCCAGGGAGCCCUCUCUGGGCUGGGAAGGCUUGGAGCCCGGCCCCUGGCCAGCCCGGGCAGCACCGCAUGGACACACAGGUCAGCAGCAGACAGACAGAUGGACGGAUGGGUGGACAGGCAUGGAGGGCUUGGGUGUGGGAGGGCUGGAGGCAGGCAGCCAGCGUGGGAGCCCUGACCCCAGAGGGAACGUCCUGAGGGCGACAGGAAGGGGGUGGAAAUGGCAAGACCACCCCCACCUAGGUGGGCCUAUUCUCACUGUCCUGAGGCCUGUGCUCUGCUUUAUUUCUGAAACCUGACUCCCCAGCCCAGAGCAGCGGGCAGGGGAGUGCAUGCACAGCACCCCGCACCCCCUCCAGUGGACAGAAAGCCUUCCACCAGUCUCCUGUGCAAGACCUGGAGUCCACCCAGACCCCAGGCCAGAGCCCACACAUGGGACCCUUGCUGGCCUCGGGGCACGGGGGCCCUUUACUGCUCUGAGCCUUGGGGUCCCUUCCUGGCCUGCCUGGACCCUAGGGCCAGGCCUGUGGCUGCCCUAGGGGUGGGUGACCGAGGCUGCUCCUGGCAGAGGUGAGGGACUAGAUGGGCCCGAGUGCCCACAUCUGGGCCCCGCGUGUACACAGGGACCCCAGGAUAGCCCUAAGGGUGGCGGGGGCGGCACCCAGCCAGGAGCAGGCUGCAGGUGGGGGUGACAGGCUAGGGGUCCCAGGUGAGCGUGAGGGGUUCUUACCACAUUUGGAAAGCCUCCCCGUCAUCAUUUCCAUACAGUUAGUGGUGUCUGGAGCACAGAAUGGAGAAAGGAGGGAGAGGGAGACGUGUGAACAAGUCUUCCCAUGUGGAUCCCUGGCCAGGCGCUGCCCUCAGCCUCUGGCCAGGCCCUGGGGGGGGGGGGGGGGCAGAGCCAGGCGGGGGGCGUGGCCAUAGCCAAGUAGGGGGUUUGCUGGGGCCAGUAGAACAGAG
rnacentral:lncRNA from 1 species